GACGAAGGGGGCUAGCGUUGUUCGGAAUUACUGGGCGUAAAGCGCGUGUAGGCGGUUGCCAUAGUCAGGUGUGAAAGCCUUGAGCUUAACUCAAGAAAUGCACUUGAUACUGGGCGACUAGAGGACCGGAGAGGAUAGUGGAAUUCCCAGUGUAGUGGUGAAAUACGUAAAGAUUGGGAAGAACACCAGUGGCGAAGGCGGCUAUCUGGACGGUUUCUGACGCUAAGACGCGAAAGCGUGGGGAGCAAACAGG
rnacentral:rRNA from 1 species